CUUGCCCGAGGCCCUGACCAGGCUGUUCCCCUGGCAGGAGUGGGAGGUGGCUGGCUAAGGGGCUGGCAGGAGGCCCUGGGGCCCUGGUUGACCCGCUUGCCCAGCACGGCCACACUGCUCCUCAGACGCAGGCCCCUGGUGGCCCAGAGAAGCCCCUGAUGAGUGGGACUGGAGCAGACCGGCCCGACGGCAGGCUCCUGCAUCCAGACCUGGCUGGCGGCAGGCCGGGCUGCAGGGGCCCUGGGGAGGGUGCUGUUGCGGGUGGGUCUGCCUGCCUGGUUUUCCUACCUUUUGUGGGCUCUGACUCUGACUUCAGCUGGAGAUGCUGCAGGGUCUGGUGAGAGCCCCCCGCCUUGCCAAACAGCUCUCCCCCCAGAGCGUGGCUUCCUCCAGUCACUGGCCGCCAGCCACACCAGCCCCAGGUUGCACUUAGUGAUAGGAAGCUUUUCCUGCGCAAGUGGCAGACGCCAUUCUCAAAACUUGGAAGAGGACAGUUGAUUGCUCUGUAGAAUUGGAAAAUGUAAGGGGCAGAUGAAUUUCAGGCAUAGCUGGAUCCAGGAGGUCAGAAUGUACAAUCUCAAAGGUCAGGCAGAUCUCUCUACCUCUCCCCUGCUUUCCUGUGCAGUUUUAUUCUCAGGUCAGCAUCCACUCUGGGUAGACAUAGAUGGUCAUGGGACGCUCCGGGCAUAGAACCACUCUUGGUUUCCUGUAAACUUGUAAGUCUCCCGCAGGACUCAGACUGGCUCGGGUGGCUGGCCGAGGAGGGGUCGUUUUUGGAGGAGACAGGGAGUUGAUACCUAAGGAAGGGGGUGAAUAGAGGGUGGGCAGAACCAUGCUUUCUGCUACCUGUGGCCUCUCUGGGUGACCAGUGAGUGUCCCCUGGAGAAGAAGCAUUUCUAAAAGUAGAAGCCCUCGUCAGAGGCACAGGGUCUCCAUUUACUGGCCUCUUUCUUCCCUGAGAGAAAAACGCGGGGGCUGCCAGGACCCGCCUCGCCAAACCCCUGAGGCUUCAGAGGGCCUGUCCACCUCUCCAGCUUUCAGCUCUCCAGAUCUCAGGAGGGAACUUGCCCAGAAAUGCGGAUCAGAAGGAAUUUGUACAAUUCCAGGGAUGAGAGAGUGACCAGAGCCCAGCUCAGCCAAGCCCCCGUGUGCCUCUGGGCAGGUGCAAGAUGCCAGGUCAGACUCUUGGAUCAGUGGAAUACGUGCUUCAUGGUCACCUCUAACAGCCAGCCCUCCGAAUCCCAGAUCCCAGUGUGGGAACACAGGAGAAAGGGUUUCUGACGGGCAGGAGCCGUGAGCCCCGAGGACGAGGGCGCAGAGGAGCUUGCUGGCCACAGGGCCUCCUGCAGCGUGCGCAGAGGGGGCAGGACCAGCUGUGACUGCUCUGUGUUGAGUUUAGCUCCCAGUGCAGAGGAAUAUUUAUUCGUGUGUGCGAAGACACAAGGCUGGAAUAAAAGAGGAUUUAGACUUCCUGUGCAGUUUAGAGGUCGAACUCAAUAAUCCCAGGAGACAAUAAGAAGAGCUGCCUCCUCAGGAGGAGAUGCGCCAGCUUGAAUGGGUGUGCAAUACAUUGAGGGCACCCUGGCUGGAGGCCUGGGAGGACCUGGGAAGUGAUUUCCUGCCUCCUGCAGGUGAGGUGGAGGCCUGCAUCCUAGCCAGGGAUAGGCCCUGAGAACCCUGGUAUCUACAUGUAGGUGGUCCUUGCUAUGGACAGUCACAUGGAGUAUGUGACCCAUGUGGCCCUUGGCUUCCCUCAGAGGGAGGCUCCUACUCAAAGUGUUUGCAGAUGUAAUUCAGGAAAUCAAGAUACAAUCAUCCUGGACUAAAGGCGGACCAUAAUCCAAUGACCAGGCCACAGGAGAAAGCAGUGGAGAUCCAAGACAAGGAGACACAGGGGAAGCCCUGUGGAGGCAGGCGCAGGCUGGAGGACGCUGCCGGAAGACAGGGAAGCCGGAGUCCCGAGCUGGAAGAGGCCAGGACCCUCCUCCCGAGCCUGCGAUCCCUCCUCAGCAGGGCCAGGCGGGCUCAGCACCAGGCGCCUCUGCAAGUGACAGGUCAAGAGGCAAGAGUAGGAGAGCAGGGACAGGGCCUUGUGCUCCCUGGGUCCUCAGAGCUCCUGGGCUUUAACUCAGGCUGUCUGGGAGGCUGGUGAGCCCUGACCACAGCACCUCUGGUCUGUUCUGGGACUCUGGUACCCUUCUGUCCACUCCAUGUCCAGCCCAGAUCAGGCAGGCCACGGCAGCCUCCUUCCAAGCAAAGCCUCCCUGUGUUCUGCGCUGACAGGACCAGAGUCCCCAAAGGGGACAGGGGACUCUGAAGGUGACACUGCAAUAGGACCAGGGUAGGUGGAGCCCAGGCAAUUGGCCCAGCCCAAACCACUGGUGCCCAGCCACAGCUGCCCCCCAUGCCUGUUUCUGUAGGUUCUAGGCCAGUGUCCCCCCUGGGGCCUGUGGGUGGUGUCCACCUCCAGAAUCAGGCCCAGAUCCUUCCAGGAAUCCUUCCCUCUUCCCAGGCGCCCUUGCGCCCCGCUCCCAGCUGCAGACCCAGCCUGAGAGGUCCCCAGUCCCCCCGGUGUGUUCCUCCCCCCCACCGUGGUCAGGAUCACAUCUUAUUUCUGUGUGCCCCAGCGUGGGCCAGGAGUUGGCCUGAAGAGCGUACCCUGGGUGGAUGUGGGCCGGGGUGGGGCUGACAGCAGAGGCAGGGCCUCUCCAGAGACCAAGGACACCCCUAGGACCACAUCUGCACGUCCACCAAGCACGGGCCUGAGCUCAGGCCUAGUGACCACAGCAGGACGGAUUCUUCCAGCUGGGGACAUUCAGGGGUGGCAGGGUCGUCCUCACAGCGCUGGGGGGACUGCACUUUGCUGCCUUCCGAGUGCCUGCCCGCUCACGUCUGCAGCCCGGGUUCUGGUCUCAGGUGUCUGACGGGGAGGUGAGAGCCAGCACCCACUCGGGUCAUCGGACUUGUCCAAGUGUUGUUAGCUGCUAAUUACAAUUAAAUCUUUGAUGAGCUGUUUCUUAUCUUCUUAAUUAAAAUAAUCGUGAUU